AUAUUUCUGUUUUGUUACCAGGCAGUCAGUACAGAUUUCAUUGAAAUAUUGUGUGUUCAUUGGGUUUUGUGCCUCAUCUCACUGGCAGAAGAAUGUAGUGGUUGAUUUGGGGAAUGGAGAUGGCUGGAAAGGAGGUAAAGAGUGAAGAUGGAGAAACAAGAUGGCAGUGAUGAAGAGAACCAGCGAAGAGAGAAGGCCAUGGUGGUGCUGAGAAAGAGUAGAUCUUUUCUUCUUGUUAAGAGCACCAGAGGGAAGAAUCCAGCUGAUCACUAUUUAGGGGCAUCUGGCUCCAGGAAUAACAGACCAUCUGGUGUCCAGCUCCUUCAAAAUGGUGUGCUGGGCAGAGAAAAGACUGCAAAUCAUUGAUCUAAUGUCACAAUUGUGGACAAGUCACUGGACAAUCCUAGUCAUCUGUAGCAGAGAACUACAAGAUUCUAGGAGACACCAUAGAGAACUUGUUCCAGGUCCAUUCUGCCCAUCUCAGGAAUAGAGAUAACCUGAUGGAAGAAGGAUAUGCUUAUCCAUUUUGCACAUAAGGAAUCUGAGGCACAUAGAAGUCAAAUGGAUUGCCAAGAGGGGGAAGCACACAAGAUACCUCCCAAGAUGGACAAAUUUUAAGACUGUGGUAGAAUGUCAAACUCCCAAUUGGGAAGCAGGAAGAGGUUUUCUGUAAAGGUGUUCAAAGGACAUGGAGAGAAAUGGAGGCAGACACGGAGGGAUAGCUAACAUCAAGCGGUGCUGGAGAUACAGAGUAUCAGAAGCCCCAUCUGUUUGAAGUCUACGGUUUAUCAGAGACUCUGCUUGCAGAAAGUCGGUCCCAGGAUUUGACAUUUCCAUCUCCUGCAACAUCUUUUGUGGCGACGAGGAGCAGCGACAUCAAAGGGCAUAAUCUUAAUCCACCUAUCAGGCUGUGGCUCCCCUCCUCCAUGGAGGGUGGCUUGGAUGGAGGGUCCUGAGCCAUAAAGACCAAGCAGCCCCUUAGGUGACAGGUGAUGCUGUCCACAGGAUCUGGCAGAGACCAGCUCUCCAGCCACGAAGGAGCCUGACAAGUCUGAGGCUGACUUUUCUCUGCUGGCUCUCUCUCACCUUCUGGUUACAUCACUCUCUUUGGACCCGCGAAGGUCCAUGAGACAACCACCCAGACUUCCAAAUUAAGGCAGCAGCAGGUAACCUGCAACAUGGUCCGAGAUGGGCAGGAAGAGGUUAAAGAACAUGCCAGAAGGCACUCACAGACAGUACUUGAUGGAGCCAGGGCUGGAACCCAGGUGUCCGGUUCUCAAGAACACACUCUUACGCACUGGGCCUCACCGUCUUCCUGGAUCCUCACUGAGCAUGGAAAGAAAAAGCCAUGUACUAGUCCCAGCUUCGAGUCCUGCAGCCCUGGGCUGAUGGAUUUGAUCUCGUGUUCUCAUCUGUAAAACAGAGGAAACGGCAUCUCUCUCCUGGGGCUGUUAUGAAAACUGGAGGAAAUAAGGUUGAGGGAGACUCCAGUUUGCAGACCUGGCUGUGAACAUCCGAUUACACUGAUCCAGCAUCCCAGCUUAACCCUCUCCUCCCUCUGGUUUGGAUACGUUGAAGAGUGGUACCCUUCUCAGCUGAACGCUGCAGAACUAUGUCAUGGACUCUCUGCCUGGGUUUGCUGGCCUUGCAGACUCCUCAGGCAGGCCUUGCCCUCAGGCGGGGAGAGCGGAGCCAGGUUCUUAUGAAUGAAGAGGAAAGAAUCGUCACAGGACACACCUCACUGCGCCUUUUCUUAGCCGGCUUCCCCGGUAUUGACUUGUGCUAACAAAGAAAGGGAAAUUUCUUGGGUGGAAGUUUCCACACCUUAGGAUAAACUUGCUCAAUCCUGAAGCCUAUGAGGAAUGUUCUGCCCAUAAUCAAUUAUGGGCAACUUAAUUCCUUGCAUUCCAAACAUUGUUAGCCGGGACACAUACCUAAAGGGUGAUUUGCAGAAAGAAAAAUAAAAUAUUUAACACCACGUACUUUUUCCAUUGAAUACUCCAACAUAGUACCUUCUUAAAUUCAAGUUAUCAGAUAUUUUCAUAAAGUUCAGGAUCUUGUCUUCAUUGCUGAGAACUAGCCUCAAAAAAUUUUUUUAAGUAAAUAAGAGUCUCAAAGAAUAAAAAGAAUUUUUAACUUUUUUGAGGGCACAUUUUUGGGGUCAAGGACAAAGCUAGAAACAACUAGAUGUCAUCAGUCUUUCAGUCAAAUACUAUUCCAAGCAGACAGAACUGAAGAGAACUCUCUUCAGUUUAUGGCUGCCUCACUGGAGAUCCAAAACUCACUUUCUGACUGCUGUGGAAUGGCUCACACACAACCCUUAUGGCUAAGGGGGAGCUAGCUAGGUCAACGACGUAACAGAACUCAGCUGGAACCAGGCACUCAGUGUUGUCAAGACUCUCUUUCAGGCUCUUCUGCAUCCCUCUACAUAUGGACCUCAUCCUCUCUCACUGCUGAGUGGCUUUCUCCAUAUUUGGGUAAAACACAGUCACCAACAACACUUGAAUUUGACUUCUUGCAACCUCUACCACCAGAGAUAGUCUAACUGAUCUCUCUCUCCACCCCCCACCCCCCACCUGAUCUCUCUCCUCAAGCCCAAAAGUCCGUGGGCAGAGAAUUCACUGAUUCAGCUUGGGAGACCCAGGGCAUGGUCUACUCUGACCAGACACUUGGAACAAUGAAAUACGGUCAUGGACAAUCAAAAUGGUUUGAAAGGCUGGAGUGUGGAAAUAACCAGUGGCUCAGAUCAUGCCUGGUCCCCUAGAACAGAUCUGGGUUUUACUUUGAAGGUAAUGAAGGAAUCAUGGAACAAUAUUAAGCAAGGUAGUGGCAGAAGAGAGUAUAUAUUAAUGAGCGCACUGUAAUGUGGCAGAGAAGGCUUGAGUGGUUGAGUCAGUUCAGCCAGGCAUCAAUGAGCUACAGUGUCUCCCUUCCACAUGUCUGUGCCUUAGGCAAGACUCAGACACGGAGCAGCCACCACGGGGGCCCCAGCGUUAGCCUUUAGCCAGAUCAACAGCCAGGAUGCUGUGCCCCUUGCAUUGGAUGGGCAGAACCCAGUGGAACACCCUGAUACCUGACCAAGGGGAGAGGGAGGGAACAUUUGUGGUUUCUGCUCUCGAGGAGGCCUUGUCCCCACGCCCUCUCUGCCCCACGCUAGCUGUGAGAGAAUGCACAACAGUGGUACUAGGGAGCAGCCUUCAUUUCUUUCCCUGCAGUUAUAAUGACUCACCCUCAAGUGAGGGGAAAAAAAUAUAUUUAAUUUCAUGUUUAGGUGUGAAGGAAAAGCCGGGCUGGACUAACUCAU